rnacentral:misc_RNA from 1 species
AAAGAGUUGGUAAUUUGUCUUUCUCUUCUGGAUAACUGGACAACUUCUACUUUAGUAAAGGAACUUUGCAGUUGCCUUACAUAACACAACAGUUUUCAGGUGCUUCAACCCCUGUGGGAAGAACAGGAUUUCCCUCAGCGUCAACUUUAAAAAGAGAAGGUGCACCAACCAGAUCCUCUGGUGGUUGACCGCAAUUCUGCAUUCGGUUCAUGAGUGCCAACGUCUUUUCGAAACGAGCUUUCUUCACUUCUUCAGAAUCAUCUGCUGUUUCUUUUUCUAGUUCGGUACAUACCUAGGGAACUGCUGCAUCAGGUUCAACUGCUCUGUGUACCUCUCUAAGUCAGCAGCUGGUAGAGUCGACUUUUUUUCUUCCAGCCAAGCUGGGUAUUUAUCAACUAGUUCUUUCAUAGUGGGAUAUAAGACUUCCUUCGAUAAUAGAGAUUGCAUCAUUCCCUGCAUGAAGGAUGGGAAUUCACCAGCUUCAUCCUCCAAACCUGCACGCCCAAACAUUGCAGCUAAGUCCGCUUCUCCCAACCCUGAUACUGGAUUCUGUGAAAUGAUACAAACAUGGAUACUCAUUAAUCUGGGUGUGAAGUGAAUUUUUUUGAACUUCUGCUUCAAUUUUACCUGCAAAUUUUGAGUCGUAUCAGAUAAGUCCUUCAGGGCUUGAGAGAUGGCUGAUUGAAAGUCGGCAUGCGAAUCUUCAGCUCCAGGUUCUCCUCCUGUGAUCGCACUAGCUACUGUUUGUGCCAUUUUUUGGAAAGAGGCUCCAAGGUCGCCUUCUCCGCCUGUGCAAUAAACUGAUGUGUUAUAACAACUCCAUGAUCAUUCCUUCAGUCAUCACCAUUUUGUAUGAGGUUCUGCAGAUUCCGUUCAAACUGAUCCGCAGCUUGUUUGAUAAAAUCUUGCGUCCAUUGGUCCUCAACCCCAGUUGCCUCGUCUGAGGCUUCAGGCUGUACAGGCUGCACAACCGUCUCAUUGUCAUUUUUGGACUUUUGAUCAUGGACCUGGUUAAAAUCUUCAAGAGCACC